UACGGAGGAUCCAAGCGUUAUCCGGAAUCAUUGGGUUUAAAGGGUCCGUAGGCGGGACAAUAAGUCAGCGGUGAAAGUCUGUGGCUCAACCAUAGAAUUGCCAUUGAUACUGUUGUUCUUGAGUGUUUAUGAAGUGGUUGGAAUAUGUAGUGUAGCGGUGAAAUGCAUAGAUAUUACAUAGAACACCGAUUGCGAAGGCAGAUCACUAAUAAAAUACUGACGCUGAUGGACGAAAGCGUAGGUAGCGAACAGG
rnacentral:rRNA from 1 species